rnacentral:rRNA from 1 species
UACGAAGGGGGCUAGCGUUGCUCGGAAUCACUGGGCGUAAAGGGCGCGUAGGCGGCCAAUCAAGUCGGGGGUGAAAGCCUGUGGCUCAACCACAGAAUUGCCUUCGAUACUGUUUGGCUCGAGACCGGAAGAGGUAAGUGGAACUGCGAGUGUAGAGGUGAAAUUCGUAGAUAUUCGCAAGAACACCAGUGGCGAAGGCGGCUUACUGGUCCGGUACUGACGCUGAGGCGCGAAAGCGUGGGGAGCGAACAGG